rnacentral:rRNA from 1 species
UACGUAGGGUGCGAGCGUUAAUCGGAAUUACUGGGCGUAAAGGGCUCGUAGGCGGCCAACUAAGUCGGAUGUGAAAUCCCCAGGCUUAACUUGGGAACUGCAUCCGAUACUGGAUGGCUUGAAUCCGGGAGAGGGAUGCGGAAUUCCAGGUGUAGCGGUGAAAUGCGUAGAUAUCUGGAGGAACACCGGUGGCGAAGGCGCAUCCUGGACCGGCAUUGACGCUGAUGAGCGAAAGCCAGGGGAGCAAACGGG